rnacentral:misc_RNA from 1 species
GCCAACUGUUAAUAACGUUAUAUUUUGCAAGAAUUAAUACAAGUGGCGCCUCAAGAUUUCUCCACCAGCUCUUUCAAACGCCUUACUCUAAAACCACAUCUAAACAAACUAAUAAUAAUGAAAAAGAAAAAGAAAUGAAUGGCUGAAUAUCUUAAAAAAGAAAUACUAUAAAAUCACAAACCAACCCAUCAUAUUAAAAAAGCUCACACAAACCAAACAAAACUAUCAAAAGAAUAUUAAAAAAUAGACAUAAACAAGAGAUUCUUUAGUGAGAUUUGGUGAGAUGUAAGAAGGGAAAGGCAAAGAAAGGAAGAAACGGAUGGCCGGCUGCUAGCUGUGGCCAGUGGGUGGAAGUUCAGACAGAGCUUUCAUGUAUUUUUCAAGAUCUUCGUGUGGGUUUAUAUUGCAAGUCUUGCGUGGCGUAGCGUGAAGAGCUAGACUUCGUUUCAUUACUCCACGUCACCACCUUCUCUGCCCCUUUUAAACCAAUCUCUCCCAUCCCUUGCCCUUCCAUUCUACCAUCACAGCCUAAAAAGUCCAAGGAUCGGUUUUCUUUUCUUUCUUUGAAUAAUGGAGGGUCUUAUUCCUUUCGUGUAUAGAGCCAUAAUGCAAUACAAGAACGGCAAAGAAGGACCUCUAGGGUCAUGGCUGAAUGAUUCUCCUUCAGCUCACUACAUGCGACUUCCAGGCGAUUCAGGUCGGUUUCAGGCGUCUGAGAUACGUCUUUUUGGAUCCGAUUGUGGCUUCUCUACCGCUACUUCAACAUCUGCCAAUUUCAAUAGUACUACUACCCAAAUUCUUGUAUCCACCGGAGCUCAAUCUCCACUCUGCCGGUUGACUCCUAGGCGCGUGGCUACAUGAUCAUAUCACAUAUGCUUGAAGAAGAAAUUAAGCCGAAGGUUCAGAAUUCUGUGUACCAUAGACAUGGUAAGUUUAUUUUCACGCAUGAUUGUUCAUGUUUUCAGUUUAUUUGAAGGUAAUAAGCGUGUGGAAAACCGAAGGGGGAACACAUGCUUUUGUGGGUAUACCAGUGUGGACGUGUGAAGGUAGAAAAAGGAAUGCAGCAUGUGGAAGACCAAAAGGGGACGCAUGCAUGCUUGUAUAUUGCAGUUAAAUUUGUUGAAUAUCGUCAAGGUAACAGAGAAGUGAAGAUCAGACUUAUGUAAAUACUGAAUUGUAAGUAAUGUUUGAGAAAAAUUAAUGUUUAUUUGUACCCAAAAAAAGGAAUUAAUGAUGUUUAAGAAUGUUUGUUGGCCAGAAGGCAAUGUUGUAUUAACCAGAAACUCAAUCUAUAUGCUUAUUUUAAUUUUGGUGUUUCAAAA